GACGAACGCUGGCGGCGUGCUUAACACAUGCAAGUCGAACGGAAAGGCCCUGCUUUUGUGGGGUGCUCGAGUGGCGAACGGGUGAGUAACACGUGAGUAACCUGCCCUUGACUUUGGGAUAACUUCAGGAAACUGGGGCUAAUACCGGAUAGGAGCUCCUGCUGCAUGGUGGGGGUUGGAAAGUUUCGGCGGUUGGGGAUGGACUCGCGGCUUAUCAGCUUGUUGGUGGGGUAGUGGCUUACCAAGGCUUUGACGGGUAGCCGGCCUGAGAGGGUGACCGGCCACAUUGGGACUGAGAUACGGCCCAGACUCCAACGGGGGACAGCAGUGGGGAAUAUUGCACAAUGGGCGGAAGCCUGAUGCAGCAACGCCGCGUGCGGGAUGACGGCCUUCGGGUUGUAAACCGCUUUCGCCUAUGACGAAGCGUGAGUGACGGUAAUGGGUAAAGAAGCACCGGCUAACUACGUG
rnacentral:rRNA from 1 species